GACGAACGCUGGCGGCGUGCUUAACACAUGCAAGUCGAACGGUUAGGCCCUUCGGGGUACACGAGUGGCGAACGGGUGAGUAACACGUGGGUGAUCUGCCCUGCACUUCGGGAUAAGCCUGGGAAACUGGGUCUAAUACCGGAUAGGACCACUGCCUGCAUGGGUGGUGGGGGAAAGCUUUUGCGGUGUGGGAUGGGCCCGCGGCCUAUCAGCUUGUUGGUGGGGUGAUGGCCUACCAAGGCGACGACGGGUAGCCGGCCUGAGAGGGUGACCGGCCACACUGGGACUGAGAUACGGCCCAGACUCCUACGGGAGGCAGCAGUGGGGAAUAUUGCACAAUGGGCGCAAGCCUGAUGCAGCGACGCCGCGUGAGGGAUGACGGCCUUCGGGUUGUAAACCUCUUUCAGCACCGACGAAGCGCAAGUGACGGUAGGUGCAGAAGAAGGACCGGCCAACUACGUGCCAGCAGCCGCGGUAA
rnacentral:rRNA from 1 species